GGACUACCCGGGUUUCUAAUCCCGUUUGCUCCCCACGCUUUCGUGCCUGAGUGUCAGGAACGAGCCAGUAGACUGCCUACGCCAUUGGUGUUCCUCCCAAUAUCUACGGAUUUCACUCCUACACUGGGAAUUCCAUCUACCUCUCUCGUCCUCUAGCUUAGCAGUUCAGACAAUGUGUAUACGGUUGAGCCGUACGCUUUCACUGUCUGCUUACUAUGCCACCUACGCAACUCUUUACGCCCAGUAAUUCCGGAUAACGCUUGGAUCCUCCGUAUUACCGCGGCGGCUGGCAC
rnacentral:rRNA from 1 species